rnacentral:misc_RNA from 1 species
AAACAAGUUUCACUCUCAGUGAAA